ensembl:lncRNA
GUUUUUGUUUGAUCUACUCAACGUGUGAAAUGUGCUCAGUGUUUCCGUGUAUUAAUUGACAGUCAGAUGUGAUUGUUAACCUAAGCUCCAAUCCAGAAAACAUCUUUGUAUCCUGAAUUUUAGGAACAUAUUUACCAAUUCAAGUCUGAUGAGAGAGUUUUAACCCUAAUAUUCUGCUGCAUGCUGCAACUGCUUUUGGCUAGUUGGAAAACACAAGGAACAGGACAAAUACAGACUGAUCCUUUCCUGAUUUAUUCUCCCAUUAUUCAGCCAGGCAGAGAGAAAGAGAUGGAAGAUUUCAGGCCUUCAGGUGUUUCUCUGAGGAUUCCUGGGAAGACCUGCAGCUGCCACAUACUGCAGGCACUGCCUCUGUGCCACGUAGCAUCUUGAGAAGUAAGCUUGGGCUCAACUAGAAGUGGCUUGCAAGUACGACAGCUUCAGCAUGCAAGGUGCUCUGCCAGUGAGAAAACUACUGUGUUUUGCUCCAUGCAGAAGUUCCGAAUUACAAAACUCAUGUAGCCUCACAAAUUGAGGCUACAAACAAAAUGACGUGCUUUGUUAAUGCCCUGCACACCAUCACGAAGCAAGAGGCAUUGCUCCUGGUGAAGGCAGGGUAGCUGGACUGGCUGGGUUUGACCUGUUCCCACUUGUGAAAGCCAGGCCUUGUGCUGGUGCAUGCUGUGGGUGAAAAAGAGUGAAGAAAGACAAGGCCACAGCACCACAUUACAAUGGCAGCACAGGGAUUUCUGCCUCCUCAGACUACCAGAAACACGUUAGGAAGAAGAGCCCCACACGCCUGCCUUUCCCUUCCCUGCUUGCACUAUCAGAAGAACAUGAGGGAUAACAGUGUGCUGUGGUUGCCUCUCCUGAGCUGUGUUCACAGUGCAACACAAGGAUGUUCAGGCUCUUGCAGACCUACAGAGCACUGCUGAAGCCAUCAAGAGAGAGGCACUCCUGAGGGCUAUAGCCUCAACUCAGUGUCAGUAGUUCACACCCUAAAGCAAGGAAUAAAGGACCUUCUUCGGAAACAAAUGGGGGAGAGAUGUUUUGCUUUUACCAAAAACAGACAUAAUGUAAUUUCAGUACUGCAAUCAAAGCCAG